rfam:Actinomyces nasicola strain DSM 19116 Scaffold54, whole genome shotgun sequence.
GCGGGUGUAGUUCAAUGGUAGAACUCCAGCUUCCCAAGCUGGUAGCGCGGGUUCGAUUCCCGUCACCCGCU